AUUUGAUCUGAAAUCAGGCGGGAUUACC
rnacentral:rRNA from 3 species